AAGAUUAGCAAUUUGUUUUAUAUUUGUUUUAUAACGUCACGUCUUUUUUCUCCGUGGGAGGGAGACAGGAGCUAGGUUUUCAUAUAUUAUAUAUGUGAAAAUUUGUUUGUUUGAAUGAACGGAUUUUGAUGAAAUUUGGUAUACAGACUGGGUGUGAGCUGACUUGGGUGAUAGGAUACUUUUUAUCCCAUGGGAACGCGGGCGAAUAUUACGAGAUUUAACUUGAGAUUAAUUUUUAAAGUGAGCGAAGCCGCGGGCUUAAUGUUAGUAAAUAAAUAAAACUAUCUGCAGUGUAGAAAAAUAUGAGUAAUAGAGUAGACGUAAAUGACGUGAAAAAUGAUAAAAAAAGAUAAGGAAACUGUAUAAAAUGAUGCUGCAAUAGAUAUUGGAAACAUACACAAUGGGUUUCGUCCGAUAUAUUCUAAUCUUUGCUGUAUUGUUAUGCCUUUCUGGGGCCUUAUCUCAAGAAAAUACAGAUGGAUGGGAGAUCAAGGAUGAGAUGUUGGAGACUUUUGACUACGAAGAUUCUCGUUCGACUAUAAUUUCUUCUUGUGACUUUAGAGUAAGACCUUUGCGGCGUUGUUUUGAUUGUUAUACGACAUUAUUAUGUACACCAUUUUUCGGAAUAAUUAAUGCUUGCCUUAGUAGAGCCCAGCCUUACUGUAAUAAUGGAGAAUGCUCACGAGUACCUUCUAAUGACUGUUUCUGAUUAAUAAUAAAUGAUAUUUAAGUAUUUAUAA